rnacentral:rRNA from 1 species
UACAGAGGGUGCGAGCGUUAAUCGGAAUUACUGGGCGUAAAGUGUGCGUAGACGGUUAUGUAAGUCGGAUGUGAAAGCCCCGGGCUCAACCUGGGAAUUGCAUUCGAGACUGCAUGGCUAGGAUGCGGAAGAGGGAAGCGGAAUUUCCGGUGUAGCGGUGAAAUGCGUAGAUAUCGGAAGGAACACCAGUGGCGAAAGCGGCUUCCGUGGUCCAGCAUCGACGGUCAGGCACGGAAAGCGUGGGGAGCAAACAGG